AGGCGUUUAGCAGCCAGACAGGUUGGGGGACCCAAUCGGGGUAGAGCUAACCGAGACGCUGCCGCGGA
rnacentral:pre_miRNA from 1 species